GCGAAGGUGGCGAAAUGGGUAGACGCGCUAGUUUCAGGAAUUAGUGUCGAAAAUAAUAAAGACUGUGAGGGUUCGAAUCCCUCUCUUCGCA
rnacentral:tRNA from 1 species